rnacentral:rRNA from 1 species
UACAGAGGUCCCGAGCGUUGUUCGGAUUCCUUGGGCGUAAAGGGUGCGUAGGUGGCGCUGUAAGUGGGGUGUGAAAUCCCGAGGCUUAACCUCGGAACUGCGUCUGAAACUACUCGACUAGAGUACUGGAGAGGGUAACGGAAUUCACGGUGUAGCAGUGAAAUGCGUAGAUAUCGUGAGGAACACCAGAGGCGAAGGCGGUUACCUGGACAGUUACUGACGCUCAGGCACGAAAGCAUGGGGAGCAAAAGGG